rnacentral:rRNA from 1 species
AUUGAACGCUGGCGGCAGGCUUAACACAUGCAAGUCGAGCGGGGGAGGUUGCUUCGGUAACUGACCUAGCGGCGGACGGGUGAGUAAUACUUAGGAAUCUGCCUAUUAAUGGGGGACAACAUCUCGAAAGGGAUGCUAAUACCGCAUACGCCCUACGGGGGAAAGCAGGGGAUCACUUGUGACCUUGCGUUAAUAGAUGAGCCUAAGACGGAUUAGCUAGUUGGUGGGGUAAAGGCCUACCAAGGCGACGAUCUGUAGCGGGUCUGAGAGGAUGAUCCGCCACACUGGGACUGAGACACGGCCCAGACUCCUACGGGAGGCAGCAGUGGGGAAUAUUGGACAAUGGGGGGAACCCUGAUCCAGCCAUGCCGCGUGUGGGAAGAAGGCCUUAUGGUUGUAAAGCACUUUAAGCGAGGAGGAGGCUCUUUUGGUUAAUACCCAAGAUGAGUGGACGUUACUCGCAGAAUAAGCACCGGCUAACUCUGUGCCAGCCGCCGCGGUAAAAC